UGUAUCUCCAUCUUUCCCAACGAUGCUGCUCUCUGCAAGGAGGCAAUGUAUGAUCAGAAGUGGCAUGUGAGCCGGCGCAUCAGAUGCUUUCCUGUUCCGUGAUGUGAAAGCCCCGAGACGAAAAGGAACAAAAAAUAAAAGCCUCGCCUGGCAAACCCAAGCUGUAGUGUUAAAACCCCAAUCAAUUCUCAUGACUUCCACAGGACCCAUAAUUCUUUCCCAGGGUUUUCACUUCCGAGCCUGCUUUGAAGAAAGAAGAAAUCUUUUUCUGAGCAACUAAGGAAACCUCUAAAACAAAUCAAAGCUGUGGGCAGUGAGCACAGAGAACUCAUUAACUCAAGGCAAGUAACCCAGGA